rnacentral:rRNA from 1 species
AGAAUCAACGCUGGCGGCGUGCCUAACACAUGCAAGUCGAACGAGAAAGUGGGAGCAAUCCCAUUAGUAAAGUGGCGCACGGGUGAGUAACACGUGACUAACCUACCCUUGAGUGGGGGGAUAACCUAGGGAAACCUGGGCUAAUACCGCAUAAUACCUACGGGUCAAAGGAGCAAUUCGCUUUAGGAGGGGGUCGCGGCAGAUUAGUUAGUUGGCGGGGUAAUGGCCCACCAAGACAGUGAUCUGUAUCCGGCCUGAGAGGGCGCACGGACACACUGGAACUGAAACACGGUCCAGACUCCUACGGGAGGCAGCAGUGGGGAAUUUGCGCAAUGGGGGAAACCCUGACGCAGCAACGCCGCGUGGAGGAUGAAGCCCCUUGGGGCGUAAACUCCUUUCGAUCGGGAAGAUAAUGACGGUACCGGAAGAAGAAGCCCGGCUAACUUCGCGCCAGCAGCCGC